GGUUGUGCAGGAUGUUUCUCAUGGCCUGAACCCCCAUGAAAUGUUUCACUUUGACCAAGGUCUGUGAAAUAGUGGGGAGCUUACAAAAUGGUGCAGUUUGUCCUAACAAGGAUGGCUAUGAAGAAUAAUGGAACAAUCAACGCAAGCCACUCAGCACAGUGCCUGGCAUGGCAAACACUCAAUAUUGGAAUAUUCUUCAUGUAAUGCAGUAUCACUUCCGUGUGAAGUCACGUGUAACUUGUCCCGCUCCUUUCCAUCACGAGAACUACUGAAGAUAUAAACCAAAUCCAGCAGGGAAACCAGUGACAUCUGUGAAUAGUAGAUGGGAUAAAAGGAGCUGGACACACUCUUUCUUCAACAUCUGCCAUGAUAUGAUUUCACAAGCAAGAAAUGUGCCAAGGCUUCUGCCCAAGAAUAUAACCUACAUGGACACAUCACGGGGGCUCCCCUGCCCUCAAGCUCCCAUAGGGGUUCAGCCAAUGAAGAUAAGAAGAAAGAGAGAUUGAAGUAUUUAUUCCCCCAGCUCCCUCCUGGCUGGGCUGCAGUUUGGCAGUUGCCCAGCUCCUAUUGGACACCUGCUCUCAAAGCUGUGGGUCUCAGUGGGUUUCAGAAACAGCCCCUUUCCCUUGGCCCUUCAGAUCCAAGGGUGGCAACAGCUUCCUACUGGUGCUGGUCUCUGUGUGCUUCACCAGCUAUUGUGAAGAGUCCCCUCCUUAGCUACCCCUUUGAGCAUGCCACCUGUCUGCUGCCAGGACACUGACAACCCGCAGGCCCUGCACCCCUCAGGCUUAACUAUCUACCUGUUGCUCAUAGUCGUCUAGCACAGGGGUAGACACACUAUGGCCUGCAGACCGUAUCUGACCUGCCACCUGUCUUUGUACAACCCUUGAACUAAGAGUGAUUUUUUUCCAUUUUUAAAUAGUUGAAAAAAAAAUCAAAAGAAUAUUUUAUGACAUGAAAAUUCUAUGAAAUGCAAAUCUCAGUGUCCAAAAAUAAAGAUUUAUGGGAACAC